UGGGGAAUAUUGCACAAUGGGCGCAAGCCUGAUGCAGCCAUGCCGCGUGUGUGAAGAAGGCCUUCGGGUUGUAAAGCACUUUCAGCGGGGAGGAAGGCGUUAAGGUUAAUAACCUUGGCGAUUGACGUUACCCGCAGAAGAAGCACCGGCUAACUCCGUGCCAGCAGCCGCGGUAAUACGGAGGGUGCAAGCGUUAAUCGGAAUUACUGGGCGUAAAGCGCACGCAGGCGGUUUGUUAAGUCAGAUGUGAAAUCCCCGGGCUCAACCUAGGAACUGCAUCUGAUACUGGCAAGCUUGAGUCCCGGAGAGGGGGGUAGAAUUCCAGGUGUAGCGGUGAAAUGCGUAGAGAUCUGGAGGAAUACCGGUGGCGAAGGCGGCCCCCUGGACGAAGACUGACGCACAGGUGCGAAAGCGUGGGGAGCAAACAGG
rnacentral:rRNA from 1 species